AUCAGCGACUGGAGGCAGUGGUCCUUCACAAGAAGAGCCCAACCCUUCCAAGUUUGUGGUUAUGUCCAGCCCAGAAUACGUAGUUUACACAGACAGUGAACUUGAACAGGUGCGACGCUCCUACUUCGAGCAGAAACGGUUGGGGACAGAGAACAUCGUGGAUUUAUCUAAGGAGCUCUUCUGCCGGCUCAUUAGAAACACUAUGUGUAAUAUGAUCUCAAUUGCAAGAGCCACAAAAGAUGCCAGAUACCCCACAAGACCAGAGGUCAAUGCCAUGGCAAAGCGAUUGGUGGAAUACUAUCCAAUGCUAAAAGACUGGGGGCAUGUUGCCAAAAAGCUCAUGAAGAGGCUAUCGAAUGAAAGAAGCCCCAAGAAGGGCACUCCUACUGCAAAGAAACAACGGCGUGAUGUUGGGGAAAUAACUACAAGUGACUACGACGGGGAUUCAAGUGCUUCUACGGUCAUUCUUGAGCAGUCCCCAGUCAGAGCCAGCACGCCAGUGCAACACCUGGAUAGCAGUGAUGAAUGUGGUUUGGGUGACCUCUUGGACAGCCAGAAAAGCCAGGCAAGGCACUUCAAGACACUGCAAGAGAUGUGCCGGUCCAAGAAGCCAAACAAAGCUUCAGUAACCCAUUUGCUGAACUUGGAGUUUCAGGCGAGAAGACGCUUUAUAACCUCUGACACACUAGAGAGCAAGACCGACCCAGCAAGAUUCUGGAGGCAUAUUCCUGUUUCAAAGACUUGGAUCAUGUCUUAGAUGAGUUGCAAAGGAUAAUACAGCCAAACAAUGCCCACUACAUCUCGGAGAUGAGGAAGAGAUGGGACGACUUUUAUUCAAAGGUCCAAUUUUAUGGGGUGAUGAAGAAAGUGAUGAAACCCCCUAAAACGUUGGAUGGAGUGGAACAUGCCGCUGCUGUGUUCAGAACCCUGCCACUGCUCUUCCCAUCCAGCACUAUGCCACCAAAGAAGCUGGGAGCAAGCAGUGAGGCUGUUUUCCAUGUCCUUACGGCUUCAGAAGACCCUGAUGCAUACUUGCGCCAGCGACCCCUGUCCUGUCCAGUUUUGCUCGUCUAUGAGGAUAACUGCAUGAUCGCCAUUGGAAACACACCAGUGACCACCUUUGACAGGAAGAAGUUUCAUGAAGGCCUGCUCUACCUCUUGGGGUAUUACUAUUGCCUGCACCUCACUUAUCCAAAGUUCAUUGCCACGCUGCUCUCAGUAUUGCAAACUGAGGUUCUCCAGGACUCCCUCCAUGACCGAGAUUUAACUGCUUCCUACAAAAAAGCCAUUGCCGAGUGGAGGUCCUUCAUUGAGUGAUUGACUAUUGAUAUCUCUAACUAAAAAAACAACUCAGUUUGAGAGUCAGGCCCAUGUUAGCCACGUGUUUGCUGAGGUCCUUCAUUGAAUAUGUUACUGUUUGAGGAAGACCCGUGUUAAUGACAUGUUUGUUUCUGUCAAAUAUUCAAAACAGCAGCUGGAAGUGUUUUGUUGUGUUUUUAUUAUUUUAGUUUUUACAUUGUUUGAAUAGCUGCAUAUUUUCUCAAAUCUCUUAAUAAACAAAAUGCUAAAAACAA
ensembl:lncRNA